UUGGUUAAGUUAGAAAGGGCGCACGGUGGAUGCCUUGGCACUAGGAGCCGAAGAAGGACGGGACUAACACCGAUAUGCUUUGGGGAGCUGUACGUAAGCGUUGAUCCAGAGAUUUCCGAAUGGGGGAACCCACUAUCUUUAGUCGGAUAGUAUCCUUACGUGAAUACAUAGCGUGAGGAAGGCAGACCCAGGGAACUGAAACAUCUAAGUACCUGGAGGAAGAGAAAGAAAAAUCGAUUUCCUGAGUAGCGGCGAGCGAAACGGAAAGAGCCCAAACCAAGAAGCUUGCUUCUUGGGGUUGUAGGACACUCUAUACGGAGUUACAAAAGAAAGUUAUAAAUGAAGCGGUCUGGAAAGGCCCGCCAAAGACGGUAACAGCCCGGUAGUUGAAAUNNGGGAGGACCAUCUCCCAAGGCUAAAUACUCCCUAGUGACCGAUAGUGAACCAGUACCGUGAGGGAAAGGUGAAAAGCACCCCGGAAGGGGAGUGAAACAGUUCCUGAAACCGUGUGCCUACAAGUAGUUAGAGCCCGUUAAUGGGUGAUAGCGUGCCUUUUGUAGAAUGAACCGGCGAGUUACGAUUUGUUGCAAGGUUAAGCGGAAAAAGCGGAGCCGUAGCGAAAGCGAGUCUGAAUAGGGCGCAUAAGUAACAGGUCGUAGACCCGAAACCAGGUGAUCUACCCAUGUCCAGGAUGAAGGUAAGGUAAUACUUACUGGAGGUCCGAACCCACGCACGUUGAAAAGUGCGGGGAUGAGGUGUGGGUAGCGGAGAAAUUCCAAUCGAACUUGGAGAUAGCUGGUUCUCUCCGAAAUAGCUUUAGGGCUAGCCUCGAGGUAAAGAGUCAUGGAGGUAGAGCACUGUUUGGACUAGGGGCCCUUCUCGGGUUACCGAAUUCAGAUAAACUCCGAAUGCCAUGUACUUAUACUCGGGAGUCAGACUGCGAGUGAUAAGAUCCGUAGUCGAAAGGGAAACAGCCCAGACCACCAGUUAAGGUCCCCAAAUAUAUGUUAAGUGGAAAAGGAUGUGGGGUUGCUUAGACAACCAGGAUGUUGGCUUAGAAGCAGCCACCAUUGAAAGAGUGCGUAAUAGCUCACUGGUCGAGUGACCCCGCGCCGAAAAUGUACCGGGGCUAAACAUAUUACCGAAACUGUGGAUGAACCUCUUUAGAGGUUCGUGGUAGGAGAGCGUUCUAAGGGCGGUGAAGUCAGACCGGAAGGACUGGUGGAGCGCUUAGAAGUGAGAAUGCCGGUAUGAGUAGCGAAAGAAGGGUGAGAAUCCCUUCCACCGAAUAUCUAAGGUUUCCUGAGGAAGGCUCGUCCGCUCAGGGUUAGUCGGGACCUAAGCCGAGGCCGAUAGGCGUAGGCGAUGGACAACAGGUAGAGAUUCCUGUACCAGUGCUAAUUGUUUAACCGAUGGGGUGACACAGAAGGAUAGGGAAUCGCACGAAUGGAAAUGUGCGUCCAAGCAGUGAGUGUGAGAAGUAGGCAAAUCCGCUUCUCGCGAAGCAUGAGCUGUGAUGGGGAAGGAAAUUAAGUACGGAAGUUCCUGAUUUCACGCUGUCAAGAAAAGCCUCUAGGAAGAGUAGUACUGCCCGUACCGCAAACCGACACAGGUAGAUGAGGAGAGAAUCCUAAGGUGAGCGAGAGAACUCUCGUUAAGGAACUCGGCAAAAUGACCCCGUAACUUCGGGAGAAGGGGUGCUCUAUUAGGGUGCAAGCCCGAGAGAGCCGCAGUGAAUAGGCCCAGGCGACUGUUUAGCAAAAACACAGGUCUCUGCAAAACCGUAAGGUGACGUAUAGGGGCUGACGCCUGCCCGGUGCUGGAAGGUUAAGAGGAGUGCUUAGCUUCGGCGAAGGUACGAAUUGAAGCCCCAGUAAACGGCGGCCGUAACUAUAACGGUCCUAAGGUAGCGAAAUUCCUUGUCGGGUAAGUUCCGACCCGCACGAAAGGCGCAACGAUCUGGGCACUGUCUCAACGAGAGACUCGGUGAAAUUAUAGUACCUGUGAAGAUGCAGGUUACCCGCGACAGGACGGAAAGACCCCGUGGAGCUUUACUGCAACCUGAUAUGGAAUGUUUGUACCGCUUGUACAGGAUAGGUAGGAGCCGAAGAGACGUGUGCGCUAGCAUACGAGGAGGCAAUGGUGGGAUACUACCCUGGCUGUAUGACCAUUCUAACCCGCCACGCUUAGCGCGUGGGGAGACAGUGUCAGGUGGGCAGUUUGACUGGGGCGGUCGCCUCCUAAAGAGUAACGGAGGCGCCCAAAGGUUCCCUCAGAAUGGAUGGAAAUCAUUCGCAGAGUGUAAAGGCACAAGGGAGCUUGACUGCGAGACUGACAAGUCGAGCAGGGACGAAAGUCGGGCUUAGUGAUCCGGUGGUUCCGCAUGGAAGGGCCAUCGCUCAACGGAUAAAAGCUACCCCGGGGAUAACAGGCUUAUCUCCCCCAAGAGUCCACAUCGACGGGGAGGUUUGGCACCUCGAUGUCGGCUCGUCGCAUCCUGGGGCUGUAGUCGGUCCCAAGGGUUGGGCUGUUCGCCCAUUAAAGCGGCACGCGAGCUGGGUUCAGAACGUCGUGAGACAGUUCGGUCCCUAUCCGUCGCGGGCGCAGGAAAUUUGAGAGGAGCUGUCCUUAGUACGAGAGGACCGGGAUGGACACACCGCUGGUGUACCAGUUGUUCCGCCAGGAGCAUCGCUGGGUAGCUAUGUGUGGCAGGGAUAAACGCUGAAAGCAUCUAAGCGUGAAGCCCCCCUCAAGAUGAGAUUUCCCAUUUCUUCGGAAAGUAAGAUCCCUGAAAGAUGAUCAGGUAGAUAGGUUUGGAGUGGAAGUGUAGCGAUACAUGGAGCGGACAAAUACUAAUCGAUCGAGGACUUAACCAAAA
rnacentral:rRNA from 1 species